rnacentral:rRNA from 1 species
UACGUAGGUGGCGAGCGUUGUCCGGAAUUACUGGGUGUAAAGCGCGUGUAGGCGGGAGGCCAAGUCUGUGGUGAAAUCGCUCGGCUUAACCCAGAAAUUGCCAUUGAUACUGUAGGGCUUGAGUACAGUUGCUGUGGGCGGAAUAUGACAUGUAGUGGUGAAAUACAUAGAGAUGUCAUAGAACACCGAUUGCGAAGGCAGCUCACAAAACUGUAACUGACACUGAGGCUCGAAAGUGCGGGGAUCAAACAGG